AUUGAACGCUGGCGGCAGGCCUAACACAUGCAAGUCGAGCGGAGCGGCGGACGGGUAAGGGAUGCCUAGGAAUUGGCCAGUGAGUGGUGGAUAACGUUAGGAAACGGGCACUAUUACAGCAUACUAUUAGAUUAGCCUAGGUCGGAUUAGCUUGAUGGUGGGGUAAAGGCCUACCAAGGCGACGAUCCGUAACUGGUCUGAGAGGAUGAUCAGUCACCCUGGAACUGAGACACGGUCCAGACUCCUACGGGAGGCAGCAGUGGGGAAUAUUGGACAAUGGGCGAAAGCCUGAUCCAGCCAUGCCGCGUGUAUGAAGAAGGUCUUCGGAUUGUAAAGCACUUUCAGUUGGGAGGCGUUACCCGCAGAAGAAGCACCGGCUAACUCCGUGCCAACAGCCGCGGUAAUUC
rnacentral:rRNA from 1 species